rnacentral:rRNA from 1 species
AUUGAACGCUGGCGGCAUGCCUUGCACAUGCAAGUCGAACGGCAGCAUAGGAGCUUGCUCCUGAUGGCGAGUGGCGAACGGGUGAGUAAUAUAUCGGAACGUGCCCUAGAGUGGGGGAUAACUAGUCGAAAGGCUAGCUAAUACCGCAUACGAUCUACGGAUGAAAGUGGGGGAUCGCAAGACCUCAUGCUCCUGGAGCGGCCGAUAUCUGAUUAGCUAGUUGGUGGGGUAAAAGCCUACCAAGGCAACGAUCAGUAGCUGGUCUGAGAGGACGACCAGCCACACUGGGACUGAGACACGGCCCAGACUCCUACGGGAGGCAGCAGUGGGGAAUUUUGGACAAUGGGGGCAACCCUGAUCCAGCAAUGCCGCGUGAGUGAAGAAGGCCUUCGGGUUGUAAAGCUCUUUUGUCAGGGAAGAAACGGUAGUAGCGAAUAACUAUUACUAAUGACGGUACCUGAAGAAUAAGCACCGGCUAACUACGUGCCAGCAGCAGCCGCGG